GUGGAGAAUAUUGGACAAUGGGCGCAAGCCUGAUCCAGCAAUGCCGCGUGGGUGAAGAAGGUCUUCGGAUCGUAAAGCCCUUUCGACAGGGACGAUGAUGACGGUACCUGUAGAAGAAGCCCCGGCUAACUUCGUGCCAGCAGCCGCGGUAAUACGAAGGGGGCUAGCGUUACUCGGAAUUACUGGGCGUAAAGGGCGCGUAGGCGGCUCUGUUAGUCAGGCGUGAAAUUCCUGGGCUUAACCUGGGGACUGCGCUUGAUACUGCAGGGCUUGAGGCCGAGAGAGGGUGGUGGAAUUCCCAGUGUAGAGGUGAAAUUCGUAGAUAUUGGGAAGAACACCGGUGGCGAAGGCGACCACCUGGCUCGGUUCUGACGCUGAGGCGCGACAGCGUGGGGAGCAAACAGGAUUAGAUACCCUUGUAGUCC
rnacentral:rRNA from 1 species